rnacentral:tRNA from 2 species
GCGCGCGUAGCUCAAUUGGAUAGAGCAUCGGUCUACGGAACCGAAGGUUGCAGGUUCGAGCCCUGCCGCGCGUA